rnacentral:rRNA from 1 species
CGCGCAGGCGGUCGUAUAAGUCGAAUGUGAAAGCCCCCGGCUCAACUGGGGAGAGUCAUUCGAUACUGUUCGACUCGAAGGCAGGAGAGGGAAGUGGAAUUCCGGGUGUAGUGGUGAAAUGCGUAGAUAUCCGGAGGAACACCAGUGGCGAAGGCGACUUUCUGGCCUGUUCUUGACGCUGAGGCGCGAAAGCUAGGGGAGCAAACGG